AAAACAGCAGCCUCAGCCCUCUUCUGCUCCUUUUCUUCUCUCCCACUUUUCAGUCCAAUGGCAGUCAGUUUUCUUCAGCUUUGUCCCGUGUAUCUCUUUGUCCCACUGUCUCUUUCAUUGCCAUCUCACUCCAAACAUGGCAAAUGUCAAACUCAGACAGUCUUCUCAAAAGUCCUUCACACACAGUGAGGUUGCAGCUUGCUGGAAACGCAUCUCCAUCCAUCCAAUCUAGAUGGUGGUUCUUCUCUUUCUGAUGCCGUUUGCCCACAGUGCUGCUGGACCUCUCUGCUCAGAACUCUGGUAUUGUCUCUUGGACUCCUGUCCACUGUUGAUGUUCAUGCUCGUGCUUCUGGAACUGCACUCAGUGUCUUCAGGGAGAGAUUAGCUUCCUUGGAGCUUGCUUAUUCAGGACGAGGACGAGAAGCUGCAAAACAAUUCAGCCAAAAAAUUCUGGCUGGGUGUUUCUAUUUUUUUCUAAUGAUUUUAACCUAUAAUUUUCUUCCGACUGCUGCCCGUGGAGAAUUGAUCCAGGUCCGUUCCCCACCUGUAAACGACAGACUGAGAGACUUUCAUUAUUCACUGUGACUGCAUAUGUUUUCAUCACUCCUAAAGCAACACAUCUCUACUUAUUUUGUUUUGAACUCUACUGACUUUAAAGCCCAAAAAUAAAAUUUUAUUUGGUCUUAACCGCAAACACAUCCACAACACUCCAAAUUAUGUUUUCUUUUGUGUCCAGCAGGGGAAGAAGGUAACCUGUAGUGUCACUGCUUCCCCCAGUUGGAGACAAUUUCCCACUCACACUUCCACACUUUUUAUUUUCUUUGUUUUCAUGAUAUUUCUUUCUCUUUUUUUUAUUACCCCAUUGUUUUACACCCACACAUUAACCUGUUAACUCACUCCUCCAACCUCAUUUUCCUUUCACCCCAACAGCUCUCAUACAGUCAACAAUCAAAUUCUCCAUUCAUCCUUGAGUACUUGAUCACCUUUAAAUGUCACUGCGAAUUUUAUCAAUUUAUUUAUCAUUACUUUAACACUAAUCCCCUGUUUAUUUUUUAUUUACUUUAGUUCAUUUUCUCCUAUUUGAUCACUACGAUUUCUUGACUAUUUAUUAUUUCACAGAAAAUCAACUAAUCUACUUUGUCUCCCUCUUUGUCAUCAAGAAAUUCACACACACUCACAGGCUGGUCACUCGCCCCCACCUUUUCUUUC
ensembl:lncRNA